GUCGUCAUUGAAAAAAUGUUUGAAUAUUCAAGUCCACAAGGCACCCUUUAUGUCGUCAUUAUCACUAUCAGUAAUUCAGUAUAACAUAAAAAUUCCUUCCCCUCCAACUACUUUUAGUUGCAGAAGUUCUAUGAGGGGGAUGAUGUAGCUUCAAUAUCUAUCACUGUUGCUACUUGCUGCAAACUACCUGAAAUAAAUACCGAAUACAAGCAAUCUAGAAAAUGUAUCAUCAUUAAGACAAUGUCAACCUAACCUCAGC
rnacentral:misc_RNA from 1 species